rnacentral:lncRNA from 1 species
UUUGCUGCUCUACCCGUGUCCAUCCCACAUUGAUCCCGUGUCCAUCCCAUGUCAUCCCGUGUUGAUCCCAUGUUCAUCCCAUGUUAAUCCCAUGUUGAUUCACCGUUGUGCCUGUCUCCAUCCAUGUUGAUCCCAUGUUAAUCCCAUGAUGAUCCCGUGUUCAUCUCAUGUUAAUCCCAUGUUGAUUCACCACUGUGCCUGUCUCCGUCCCAUGUUAAUGCAUGUUAAUCCCAUGAUGAUCCCGUGUUCAUCCCAUGUUAAUCCCAUGUAGAUCCCGUGUUAAUCCCAUGUUAACCCCAUGUUAAUUCCCUGUUGUGCCUGCCUCCAUCCCAUGUUAACACCGUGUUGGCUGCCUGACGGUCACGUGACCCUCCCAUGUUCAUCCCAUGUUCACAG